GAUGAACGCUAGCUACAGGCUUAACACAUGCAAGUCGAGGGGUAGCAGGGUAGCAAUACCGCUGACGACCGGCGCACGGGUGAGUAACACGUAUCCAACCUUCCCAUCACUCGGGGAUAGCCUUUCGAAAGAAAGAUUAAUACCCGAUAGUACUUUUUUGAGGCAUCUUGAGAAAGUUAAAGAUUUAUUGGUGAUGGAUGGGGAUGCGUUCCAUUAGAUUGUUGGUGAGGUAACGGCUCACCAAGUCUUCGAUGGAUAGGGGUUCUGAGAGGAAGGUCCCCCACAUUGGUACUGAGACACGGACCAAACUCCUACGGGAGGCAGCAGUGAGGAAUAUUGGUCAAUGGGCGCAAGCCUGAACCAGCCAUCCCGCGUGCAGGAAGACGGCCCUAUGGGUUGUAAACUGCUUUUCCAGGGAGAGAAACUUACGCACGUGUUGCGUGACUGACGGUACCCUGGGAAUAAGCAUCGGCUAACUCCGUGCCAGCAGCCGCGGUAAAACGUCUA
rnacentral:rRNA from 1 species